CGCGGAUCAGAAUGCCGCGGUGAAUACGUUCCCGGGUCUUGUACACACCGCCCGUCACACCAUGGGAGUCGGAAAUGCCCGAAGUCUGUGACCCAACCGUAAGGAGGGAGCAGCCGAAGGCAGGUCGGAUGACUGGGGUGAAGUCGUAACAAGGUAUC
rnacentral:rRNA from 1 species